GACGAACGCUGGCGGCGUGCUUAACACAUGCAAGUCGAACGGUAAGGCCCUUUCGGGGGUCCACGAGUGGCGAACGGGUGCGUAACACGUGGGUGAUCUGCCCUGCACUUUGGGAUAAGCCUGGGAAACUGGGUCUAAUACCGGAUAGGACUACGCGAUGCAUGUCGUGUGGUGGAAAGCUUUUGCGGUGUGGGAUGGGCCCGCGGCCUAUCAGCUUGUUGGUGGGGUGAUGGCCUACCAAGGCGACGACGGGUAGCCGGCCUGAGAGGGUGUCCGGCCACACUGGGACUGAGAUACGGCCCAGACUCCUACGGGAGGCAGCAGUGGGGAAUAUUGCACAAUGGGCGCAAGCCUGAUGCAGCGACGCCGCGUGGGGGAUGACGGCCUUCGGGUUGUAAACCCCUUUCAGCACAGACGAAGCGUAAGUGACGGUAUGUGUAGAAGAAGCACCGGCCAACUACGUG
rnacentral:rRNA from 1 species